GGGUUGUGAGGUUAAGCGACUAAGCGUACACGGUGGAUGCCCUGGCAGUCAGAGGCGAUGAAGGACGUGCUAAUCUGCGAUAAGCGCCGGUAAGGUGAUAUGAACCGUUAUAACCGGCGAUUUCCGAAUGGGGAAACCCAGUGUGAUUCGUCACACUAUCAUUAACUGAAUCCAUAGGUUAAUGAGGCGAACCGGGGGAACUGAAACAUCUAAGUACCCCGAGGAAAAGAAAUCAACCGAGAUUCCCCCAGUAGCGGCGAGCGAACGGGGAGGAGCCCAGAGCCUGAAUCAGCAUGUGUGUUAGUGGAAGCGUCUGGAAAGGCGCGCGAUACAGGGUGACAGCCCCGUACACAAAAGCGCAUGUGCUGUGAGCUCGAUGAGUAGGGCGGGACACGUGGUAUCCUGUCUGAAUAUGGGGGGACCAUCCUCCAAGGCUAAAUACUCCUGACUGACCGAUAGUGAACCAGUACCGUGAGGGAAAGGCGAAAAGAACCCCGGCGAGGGGAGUGAAAAAGAACCUGAAACCGUGUACGUACAAGCAGUGGGAGCCCCACCACUAAGCCAGUGGUGAACUCCACAUACGCAUCCUUUGCUGAGGAUACGGUUAACGGAGCGAAAGCGACGUUCAACCUCAAAAGAAGCAGAGGGGGCUUAGUGGUGGGGUGACUGCGUACCUUUUGUAUAAUGGGUCAGCGACUUAUAUUCUGUAGCAAGGUUAACCGUAUAGGGGAGCCGGAGGGAAACCGAGUCUUAAUUGGGCGUUAAGUUGCAGGGUAUAGACCCGAAACCCGGUGAUCUAGCCAUGGGCAGGUUGAAGGUUGGGUAACACUAACUGGAGGACCGAACCGACUAAUGUUGAAAAAUUAGCGGAUGACCUGUGGCUGGGGGUGAAAGGCCAAUCAAACCGGGAGAUAGCUGGUUCUCCCCGAAAGCUAUUUAGGUAGCGCCUCGUGAAUUCAUCUUCGGGGGUAGAGCACUGUUUCGGCUAGGGGGUCAUCCCG
rnacentral:rRNA from 3 species